GUUCUACUGGUGUUACUGGUUCUGCUGGUGAGACGAUGUGUUCACAGGAAACCUGAAGCAGAUCAAGAAGAAACUGGAAAAGAUGACAUCAUCACUCAUGUCGUGUACAACAUUGUGAAGCUAUCACAUCAUCCACAGCCAAUCAGACCAAGCAGAGAGCGUGAACCAGCUGAAGACGUCAGUUGUGGACAAACAAGAAGGCCCAGGUACAGCUGCUCUUUAUCUUUGACUGUGGACAGAGACAAGCUAGCUGCUCACCCUGUUUACAGCUA